CCCGAGUGCGCGAGCGGACAUGACGUGUGGCUGUCGUAAAAACCCUAUUUGUAAACAACCAGUCCUUUAACUAAGCGCUACGUCAUAAACACGGCGCGCUUGGAAGACCACGAUGUCAUCUUCCUUCUGUCAGGAGGAUCCCAGUGAAGCUACAGGAGUUUCAUUAACGUCAACAACUUGGACCGAACGGUUUGUUUUGCUUGAUGAAGAGCAGGAAGGGCAGCCUGGAGAGAAAGAGAAGCCGGGUUGAGCCCACUACCAUCAUCCACGUACCACGAGGAAGAUGAGGGAGAGAAAUGAUCCUACCAUUAAAGAGACUGUGAAAAGAACGUUGAGAACAUCACCACUCUACAGGAAGACACAGUCCAGUAAUGGGUGUCAGAAUUUCAGUAGUGAACGACAGGUACUGUGGAAAAAUGUGUGUCAUUGUUGUACAAUGUCCUUUGACUCUGUUUACACAACGUUAACACAAAAAGGUUUGAUUGUAAACUGAUAUUGGUAUGAAUUCAUGUUAUUCUCCUCUUCACAAGAAACAAACAAUCCAAAUUACCUGCAGAAAGCCCUUGAUGGACGCUUCAGCUGCAUCGUCAGACUGGCCAGACAGCAAGAUGCCAACUUUAAUGCCAAUUUAUUUGUGUAACAUUCUGUGACCAAAUGUAUAGAUAACUUUUUGUAGAUUGUAAAAAAGAUAACCCAUUUAUUAAAAAAAAACUACACUAGAAUUAUCGCACUGCGUUGUAUGACUCCGCUAACCAAUGCAAUGUCCGUCUACAUAUUUCUACAUAUUUUCUCUCGUAUAAAUGACACUGUAUCUCUUGACAACUGAAACCAUAAGAUGAGGUCAGUGUGGCCUUGACCUUUUGACUUUAACACAAAUACACAGUUAGACAAUCCGAAAACAUACAGUUAUGCCAAAAUAUAUUUUGUUUCACAUUCUAGAUGGCAUAAGCAGAGACAUCAACUCAGGAAAAAUAUUUCUGUAGAAAAGAAAGCCCUGUACGUGUGUACGUAUGUAUACAUACACACGUACAAACGCACUAUUGAGACGUUUUGUUUUUUAUCAUAUAUUCUCAGGAAGGACUGAUGCAUUUACUGAGACGGGACGUGAGGGCCUACUCUGCGUGCUCAGAGUUCAAGCCCAGCAGGCUGCAGCGGUCCUGACAUAUUCCGGAACAGCAGCACAGUCUUUGGAUGACUCCUCUGAAGAUGAAACAUGGCGAGUUCUUCUCAAGAGAAGCAGUACAGGUGUGCCUCAGCUCCACGGUCCCUCCUGCAACCUCCGCUUCUGAUGCUAACCUCAUGUCUCCAUCACACCAAGCAGCAGACCUGGAUUGACAGACCUUUCUCCAGAGCUGCCCCCUCCCUCUGAAACCCCCCUCUCCAAAACACUAUUUGUGUAGUUUUUAAAGUAUUUUUUGCAUGAGAAUUGUUGAUCAUAACAUUUCCAGCAGAUGCCUUAAUGUAAUGUUU